rnacentral:rRNA from 1 species
GAGUGGCGAACGGGUGAGUAAAAUAUCGGAACGUACCCAGUGGAGGGGGAUAACGCAGCGAAAGUUGCGCUAAUACCGCAUACGACUUAGGGGGAAAGUGGGGGAUCGCAAGACCUCACGCCGUUGGAGCGGCCGAUAACUGAUUAGCUUGUUGGUGAGGUAAAGGCUCACCAAGGCCAUGAUCAGUAGCUGGUCUGAGAGGACGACCAGCCACACUGGAACUGAGACACGGUCCAGACUCCUACGGGAGGCAGCAGUGGGGAAUUUUGGACAAUGGGGGCAACCCUGAUCCAGCAAUGCCGCGUGAGUGAAGAAGGCCUUCGGGUUGUAAAGCUCUUUUGCCGGGGAAGAAAAGGUUAUCCCUAAUAUGGAUGGCUGAUGACGGUACCCGGAGAAUAAGCACCGACUAACUACGUGCCAGCAGCCGCGGUAAUACGUAGGGUGCAAGCGUUAAUCGGAAUUACUGGGCGUAAAGCGUGCGCAGGCGGUUUUUUAAGUCAGCUGUGAAAUCCCCGGGCUUAACCUGGGAAUGGCAGUUGAGACUGGAAGGCUGGAGUGUGUCAGAGGGGGGUAGAAUUCCACGUGUAGCAGUGAAAUGCGUAGAGAUGUGGAGGAAUACCGAUGGCGAAGGCAGCCCCCUGGGAUAACAC